rnacentral:rRNA from 1 species
UAUCAAUAAGCGGAGCAAAAGGGUCCCUGCAUAGCACUAAGCGGAGCAAAAGGGUCCUUUCAUUUAACUAGGCGGACCUCUAUGUUUCUUGGAAACAGGACGAUCCUGAACGGUGAGAAUCCCUGCUGAGAUGGGGUGUCCAUUCUUUGUAAGAUUCCUUCGACGAGUCGAGUUGUUUGGGAAUGCAUCUCUAAGUGGGUGGUAAAUUCCAUCUAAAGCUAAAUAUUGGCGAGAGACCGAUAGCGAACAAGUACAGUGAUGGAAAGAUGAAAAGAACUUUGAAAAGAGAGUGAAAAAGUCCGUGAAAUUGUUGAAAGGGAAGGGUAUUUGAUCAAACUUGGUAUUAGAAUAUGGUUUCUCCUUGUGGGUUUCCCUCCCAUUCUUUUACUGGGCCAGCAUCUGUUCCGAUGGUAAGAUAAUUGCGAUUGAAUGUGGCUCCUCGGAAUGUUAUAGCUUUUGACCAUCUUGCCUGUCUGGACCGAGGACUGCCUCUUUUGACCUUCGAUGCUGGGCGCAAUGUUUUUAAUUNU